rnacentral:rRNA from 1 species
GACGAACGCUGGCGGCGUGCUUAACACAUGCAAGUCGAACGGAAAGGCCCUGCUUUUGUGGGGUGCUCGAGUGGCGAACGGGGGAGUAACACGUGAGUAACCUGCCCCUGACUUUGGGAUAACUUCAGGGAACUGGGGCUAAUACCGGAGAGGAGCUCCUGCUGCAUGGUGGGGGAUGGAAAGUUUCGGCGGUUGGGGAUGGCCUAGAGGCUUAUCAGCUGGUUGGUGGGGUAGGGGCUUACAAGGGCUUUGAAGGGUAGCCGACCUGGGAGGGGGACCGGCCUCCAUAGUACUGAGAGACGGCCCAGACUCCUACGGUAGGCAGCAGUCGGGAAUCUUGCACAAUGGGCGGACGCCUGAUGCGGCAACGCCGCGUUCGGGAUGACGGCCUUCGGGUUGUAAACCGCUUUCGCCUGUGACGAAGCGUGAUUGACGGUAAUUGGUAAAGAAGCACCGGCUAACUACGUG